rnacentral:rRNA from 1 species
UACGAGGGGGGCAAAUGUUGUUCGGAAUCACUGGGCGUAAAGGGAGCGUAGGCGGGUGUUUAAGUUAGGUGUUUAAUCCUGGGGCCCAACCCCAGUCGUGCACCUAAAACUGGACAUCUUGAAUAGUGGAGAGGUCAGUGGAAUUGGGGGUGUAGCGGUGGAAUGCGUAGAGAUCCCCAAGAACACCAGUUGCGAAGGCGGCUGACUGGACACAUAUUGACGCUGAGGCGCGAAAGCGUGGGGAGCAAACAGG